CAGGGCAGCCCACGUCCUUCCCUCCCCGCCCACCGGAGCGGCGUGGAGCCCUCCUGGCAGGCAGCGUGGCAGUCGGGGGGUGCAUGGUGAGCACCCCGCUGAAGCGCUGGCUGCCCCCUUCUCUCUCUCCCCGCCGCUCCCUCCCCUCCACUAGAUCGGGCACGCACUCUGCAGCACAGGGAGUGCCUCUGCACCCUGGCUCCGGCCGCCCUGUUUUAUUGCCAAAUAAGAUCUCCUCUGCCAGGAAAGUACAAACAAGAAGACAGAAGGAUUGGUUGAGGGUCAGUGACAUUAGGAGCAUGGAAUAUCGUAACAGGAAGCUAGCAGUAUCAUAGAGUCACAGGCAGAGUUUCAGACCAAAAGGGCCUACCAGAUCGCCUACUCUGACCUUCUGUAUAUUGAUCACCUCGCACUCACAUGCUAAACCCAAAAACCGGAAUUGGCCAAUGUUACCAAAACACCCAAUGGCCAGGAAGAAAUUUUAGCUCCUGCUUGAACAAUUGUGGGGUUCUGGUGGUUUAACCAAAACAACAACCGGAGCAAAGGUCUCUGUAAAGCAGGAGGAAAGAAUGCAGCAGCCAGUCGGCAAACUUCCAAAACUGCCAACAAACUGUCAGUUGAAUUGACCAAGAAGCAAAGUGUCCAUGCUAUUGCCCCCAGAAGCACUAGUGCUGAUUCCGCUGAACUCCAGCCAGCCAUAAUCAGAACCCAGAAAUGGACAGCAAUACAAAAGUCAGCAAACACAGUGCAUUGCAUUUCACUACUACCACAAAACUGGGAAAUAGAUACUUGGAGCCAGAUUGUCAUCAGGCAUGAAUGGGCAUAGCACCAGUCACCUCAACGGAGCCACAUGUAUUUACAUGAGAUGAGGAUUGAGUGUCUCUCCAGAGCAGUGUGGCCUAGUGGAUAGCACAUUAGACUUAUGCCUCAGAAGACCUGGACUGUACUCCUGGUUCUACUGUGAGAGGUAGAUGUUAUCGUCACGCCCUCCACAAACUGACUUUACUAGUACCUGAGCAUCUUGUCAUGUCAAUAAAGUGACUCAAGUUUAAAACUAUGCACCUUAUCACUGAGACAUACCCAGCAGUCAUUUAAUUUCCUCUCCUUUUCUGGCCCUCCUUAUGGUUUAAUCUUGUGAGCAACAUUAACACGGAGGGGUAAUUGAAACUGGCCUGAUAAGGAUAUUUACUUCUGCAUUUUAUCUCUGAAGAAACAGCAAAUAAAGAGUCGAGUCAGGAUAAGAGGACGAUGCAGAUCAGAAACAUUAAAGCACAGAGAAGCGGAGUGUCAGCCUGAAGUCUCACACAGCACAUCAGCAGAGGAGUCAGGCAUCAAGCUUAGUCCUCGUGAGGCCUGGGCCAGCGCCCUGAACCACUGGACUAUGUUACCUCUAUAGCCCACCACAAAAGGACUCAAAACCUUCAAUCUUCUGAUCAAAAGCUUGUUAUAUUGAAAAUGGUAUUAAAAUUGUGAUCAGUCACUUGAAAUUUCAGAGGGUUUCCUGGUCCUGCUUGCAGCCUACGGGGCUCAGUAGGGAAGUGUGCAAUCUAGGCCCAACAGCAGGGAGUCUGCAUAUGGACAGCCUCGAGUCAGGUGGGGUGAAGUGUGCCUCUUUUAGGGAGCAGCCUGUUCUCUCUUUGUUUUGGGGUUCUUGUGUGUCAUCAUUAUGAUUCUCAGAAAAAUUUCUGUUACAGUGCAACUUUCCAGCAAGAGUUUUUAUCUAACGUCUUUUGUGUGCCAUGAACAUAACAAAGCCAAGUGAGUUAUGCAGUAGGCUAUGUUGUCAUUUCAUGUAUUUCUCUCUCCUCCUAAGCUCCAUCCUCUUCAAAAGUCCCUGCUGCUACAACUUUGGCCAUGCAGCCCCAAAGGAAGAAGCCUAUCAAACAUCUGUUCUCCAAAUCAGGAAGAACUUGCCCUAGAAGAGCUGUGUGUGAAGGCUUGCCUACCUUGUGACCGCAUCAACUGGACCUGCUGAAACAUAUGUCAUUA